rnacentral:tRNA from 1 species
UGGGGGAUGGGGUAACGGUAGCCCGAUUGGCUCUGGACCAAUUAGUUCAGGUUCGAAUCCUGGUCCCCCAGCCA